rnacentral:lncRNA from 1 species
CUCCCCAAAUCCCCCCAAAAUUUCCCCAAAUCCCCCCAAACCCCCCAAAUCCCCCCAGACCUGUACUAUUUCCUGCUGGCCCCCACCCUGUGCUACGAGCUGAACUUCCCGCGCUCCCCCCGCCUGCGGAAGCGAUUCCUGCUGCGGCGCCUCUGCGAGAUGCUUUUCUUCACGCAGCUGCUGGUGGGGCUGAUCCAGCAGGUAAAAAAUGGGGGGAGGGGGCGUUGGGACCCCCCAAAUUCAUCCUCCCCAACCUGGGGGGGUUGGGGGAUUUUGGGGGGAUUUGGGGAUUUUUGGGGAUUUUUUGGGGAUUUUUUGUGGUUUUUUUUUUUAAUUUUUUGGGGGGAAUUUUUUUGGGAUUUUGGGGUUUUUGGGGGCGAUUUUUGGGGAUUUUUUGGGGAUUUUUUUGGGGGGUUUUUGGUUUUUUGGGGGAUGUUUUUGGG